UUUUUUCUUUCUUUUUUUUUUUUAACGCUACCAUUCUUUGGUUCCAAAUACGAAUUUCCAUAAUAUUCUGCAGACACUCUGGAACUGGCACCAAGAGGCUGUAACCUCCAGAACGAAAAUUAAAUUAAUUGAAAAAGUCUUCUGAAUUGUGUCCAGGUGCCAUGGGAAGCAUCUUUUGAAGGCCACAAGCUAGGCUGAGGAAGGGAUGGGGAACUCACCGCUGGGGCAGUCUCCAUGUUUCCCAUUUAUUUCACCAGUGGAACCCCAAGAAAUAACGACGUUCUGACCAUUUCCAAGGGACCCAAGUGGCCACGCUGCACCUUUCAACCUAACCCUUGGUAGCUCCCGGCCUCCUGCGGAAACCUUCCAUGUGUCUUUAAUUUUUAAGAAUUAGUUCUUCUUCUGUUUAUUUAUUUAUUGAGACCAAGUGUCACUCUGUCGUCCAGGCUGGAGUGCAGUGGUGCGAUCUCAGCUCACUGCAACCUCCGCCUCCCAGGUUCAAGCACUCCUUGUGCCUCAGUCUCCUGAGUAGCUGUGGCUACAGGUGCUCAUCACCAUGCCUGGCUAAUUUUUGUAUUUUUAGUAGAGAUGGGAUUUCACCAUGUUGGCCAGGCUGGUCUCGAACUCCUGACCUCAAGUGAUCCACCAGCCUCGGCCUCCCAAAGUGCUGGUAUUACAGGUGUGAGCCACCAUCCCCGGCCAAAGAUUAGUUCUUCUGACUUUGGACUUUUCAUACCCUGCUCUCCAAACCAGUUUUAUAUGUUUUAUACUGCACACACACGUGGGUUAUAAUUAUAUUCCAUCCUCAUGCACACACAUGCACGUGCAUGCACACACACAUGCAUGCACGCACACACAUACAUGCACACACUAUUGCAGACUGGCUUUUUCUCCCACUUUCUAGGGGGGAUCUGUGGUUUCUUGCCCACAGGGCUUUGUUUACUGGUCUGGGAAAUGGGUCUAAAUACACAGCUGCAGAAUUCAAAGGAGGACUGAGAAUCAAACUACGCUGCACAGAACACGGAACUCCAUGGAACAGAAAAGAAAGCAUCGGGGCAGGGGUUUGUCAGAAGGAACCAUUUCCAAUGAUAAGUGCAUCCUUGAAGAAAAUAUGUCUAGACUGGGCACGGUGGCUCACACCUGUAAUCCCAGCACUUCGGGAGGCUGAGGCGGGCGGAUCACCUGAGGUCAGAAGUUUGAGACCAGCCUGACCAACAUGGAGAAACCCCGUCCCUAUUAAAAAUACAAAAUUAGCCUGGUGUGGUGGUGCACACCUGUAAUCUCAGCUACUUGGGAGGUUGAGGCAGGAGAGUCACUUGAACCCAGGAGGUGGAGGUUGCAGUGAGCCAAGAUCACGCCACUACAUUCCAGCCUGGGUGACAGAAAAAGACUCUGUCUCAAAAAAAAAAGAAAGAAAGAGAACAAGGAAAUAUGUCAAUAUGUCUAGACUGGGCACGGUGGUUCACACCUGUAAUCACAGUACUUUGGGAAGCUGAGGUGGGUGGAUCACCUGAGGUCAGAAGUUCAAGACCAGCCUGGCCAACAUGGUGAAACAGCAUCUCUACUAAAAUUACGGAAAAAAUUUACAGGGCGUGGUGGUGAGUGCCUGUAAUCUCAGCUACUCUGGAGGCUGAGGCACGAGAAUCACUUGAACUUGGGAGGCAGAGGUUGCAGUGAGCCGAGAUCGUGCCUCUUCACUCCGACCUGGGUGACAGAGAGAGACUCUGUCUCAAAAGAUAAAUAAAUAAAAGAAAAAGAAAAUAUGUCUAGAGAGAAAUGUUGGCAUUCUUUCUGAGUGGCAAGAUGCUAGGUGCUGUGCUGGUGGUGAUACAGUUUGCCUCUGUGUCCCUGCCCAACUCGUCAAACUGAAAUCCCCAGUGUUGGAGGUGGGGGCCUGGUGGGAGGUGACUGGAUCAUGGGGUCAGAUCCUUCAUGAAUGGUUUUGCACCGCCCCCCUCAAUUAAACCUCUUUCCUUCAUAAAUUACCUAGUCUUAGGUAGCUCUUCAUAGCGGUGCGAGAAUGGGCUCAUAUAAGCUCCCAUUGUUUCUACAUUAUGGUGAGUUGUAGAAUUA
ensembl:lncRNA